UGUGUAUGUAUAUCUGUGUGUAUUUUUAAAGGUUUCUUUGAACUGCCUUUGUGCUGACUAGGCAAAGCUCCUUGCCAAUGCUAGUCACGGUUUAAGGAACUUUGAGUUAACCUCUUAUAUCGAAUGAAUCUUUUCAUUUGGAAACCAAUAAAUCUCAAUCUCUAGCCACCUUUUGUAGAACAGGCUGGGGCUUACCAAGGCAAGGAUGAAGCUUAUAAUAAAGAAGAGAUAAAGUUUGCCAAAGUUUGGUGUUGGGUUGUUUGAGGGUUUGUUGUUUUUUUUUUCCCUUCCCCUUCUGUUGUAAAUAAAAGUUUUGGAGAUGGCAGCAUUUGGAAGCAAUCCGGAGAAGGACUCGGAUCUAUGCAUUGUUUCACAAUCCCAGCUGCACAACACACUCUGGUCCAUCAUGGUCAUGGGUUUCAUCACAGACUGUGACAUCAAUCAGCCUGUGGCAGAGGAAACCAGCUCUACUCUUACGCAUGAACUCCAUUGCUGACCAGGAGAAGGGAGUGGAGGAGAAUCCACUCGUGCCUUUGCAGAACUGGUUUCUCUUUGCUCCGGAAGCACACAAGUGGCUUCAGCUUCCCAAGGCUCCCAGUGAGGAUGGGAUUAAAGCAGCUGCUCCAACCCAUCAACCGAUCUUUACCUCAGUGCCCCACAAAACAGAGGAGACGUUAUUUACUGUGACAUCUGGAUCGCAUUUAAAACUAAGAGAAUAAAAGGUAGAUUUGCCAGUUGAAUUUCUGAUCUAUAAAACUUAGGUUGCACUCUGGGUGUUUUUACAUCAUUAGAGGAAUUAUACCUCUGGGUAUACUUUUAGCAGCCUGUCCGAUAGCUUCAUCCUGGUCUGGGUCAACACUGGAGCUAGGAGUAAAGAGUUAAAUUAAUUUCUUCCCAUAAGGCAGGAUUUUGCAAUCCAUUUCACUUUUCCAGCCCUUUCCAUUUUUCUCGCUGACUGUAGACCUGCCAGUUGAUGUUACCUCUCCUGGUCACUUGGAGGUUGCCUCAUGGACCACAAGGUCUCUCCUGGCCAAUGGCUGAACGCUGCUGAUUGGAGGAACAUGAAAGAGCAGAAUGAGCCUCUCUCAGGGUCACUGGCCUGGCACGAUGCUCACACACACUAAGUAAUGUGCUACAAGGAACAUUUUAUUUUUUGCUUUGCCUGUCAGUCUCAGUUUCAACUCUUUUAAACUUUUCCUUUGCCACAGGAAAGACCAGAAGACUGUGGAAAGCAACCACCAGUUUAUAUGCCAUAAGAAGAGUUUGCUUAGAUAUUAAAGUAUAAACAUUUCCUUGGGUCUCCCUUAUCUCUAGCAUUUUCAGAUUUCAUCAGAAGUAGUUUGUUUGAUUCUGGUAUUUUUAUAUUAUCUCUGGACCCUUCAAUCCUGGCUGGUACUUCAACAGAACAUCUCCCACUUUCCACACGACUAUCUCCACCUCUGCCUUUGAUAGGUUUGCAACCAGUUGCUUGAAGUAUUCAGUCUGGAUUUGAACCGGUUUGUAUUCCUUGACAAUUUGCUUUGAACACUGUCAAAUGAGGUAUGGUACUGCCUUUUAUGGGGUGUUUUUGAUGUCCUACUUUCCCCUGGUUCCCCCAUCCUCUUCUCUCUCUCGUGCAGGAUCGUCUGGUUGCACCUAGACUCACUUGCUGUUUGCAGCAAUCUAUAAUAGAACCACCUGGGAAAGAACAUAUCUUCAUUUUUUCUUUUUCUAUGUUUCUUUCUUUAGAAUGAACUUUGCAUUGAGGGAUUAUUGACAAAUAUGUUUGAAAAAGACGUGUAAAUAAAAACCUUUAUGGUCCAUCUUGUGGUUAAAAGCGGGUAUUUCUUUGCUCAUUUGAAUGUCGGUGGAUUAUUUAUGCUGGUGCAAUGUUUUGAAGAAAUAAAAUACUCCCCACUGUGCUACAUGCAAAUCUCUGCAAUGUAAACAUAAAUAGCUGUUGCACAUGCAUAAUCAAAGAUAUUUUUUAUAACUAUUGUUGGGUAGUUCAGUCCUCUAAUGGCAUCAUCUGGUGUAAAUCAGUGUAGCUGUACUGAAGCCUGCAAAGCCCCUACCAGUUUGUACCAGAUGGGACUCAAACUCUUCACUCUAAGUUUAGUCCUGAAAAAAAAAAGAGAAAAAAGCAAAAGCCUGAUAGUCCUUGAAAAUGGAGCUCUUUGUUUAUUCAUGGAAAGCUAGUAGAGCAAGAGUGGCAGGGACUUUUCUUGAUCCAUUGUAUGCCUCAGCCCUUAUCUAGGGAGAACAUUUCUGCAAUGAGGGAAAGCAUGGGUUUCUGUGCCAAGUUAGUUCCUGGCCCCUCUGCUCAGAUGACUGCAAAGAUUUGCCAGAUAAUGUCAUUUAUAAUGUGAGCUCCUUUUUGCCAAGAUUUGGACUAAGACCACCAGCUCUUUAGCACAGGCCAGCAGACUGCUGCCAGGUGCUAAGAAUUUUCAAUCGUUCACAACCUGUGCUGCAUUUUUAGAUACCUAAAGGUGAAGGGUUUGAAAUCUGGUUUUCUGUCCCCAGAGCAAUCUUGUUUCACUGUCAGUCAGCAUUAUCUUUUCUCCAACAUUGUACACAGCAGAAAGAACUUGCUAAAGCUACUUUGACACCUGAUUCUACUCCAGCUGAAGACAACAAUCUCAAUCUUAUCCUUUUGGUGUUCUGUAGACAAACUUCGCUCUGAGUUAAUAUAAAAUACAAUAUUCAGCAGCAUUUAUUUUCACAAAUUAAUUUAGACUACGUCAUCCGAAUAGCUGCUAGUGGAGACUGCCCAUGCUGGUUUUAAUGCUACAAAUACACAUUUAUUUCCAAAUUAUCAAUGCUAUUAGCUGGCAUACAUAAUGUUUUAUCCAACAGACAUGAAGCUAACUUUGUUUGCAUAAAGAGGUGGACAACUGGGGGAUUGUUUCCCCUCUUUUGAAUGCUGAUAGCAAAAGUAUCUACUAAAUACUGAAUUAUUUCUUAUUACAAGAUAACAGAAUGUUCACCUAAACUUCAUGGAGGAGUAAGAUUUUACAGAAGUGAGGAGUACACACAUACACACACAAUAAAUGUAUCCAGCUUUCAGACAACUAAAAGUUUGCAUUACUAUGAUCAGCUCUUUCAGGUUUGCCUGUGAGAAUUUUUUACCUCUUUUCUGCAUUUCCAACAAGAUCCUCCAGAAGAGUUGUUAUUCUUCUAUAAAUACGCUUGAUGUGGACAUAAACUUUUUUGCAAGAAGUCUGAGCUACUGUUAGCAGCUACUGAAGAACUCUAAGUCCGAUGUGGGUUUAAUUUGUGAUGAGUGCCAUGGCAGAACAGUCUAACAAUAUAAGCCUGUUGGACAUGUCGUCUGGGCUGUCACGUUCAAUUUGCACAUGACCUCCUGGCCAAAAAAUGGGAAAGAAGUGGUAGAAUGUGGGACUGAAAGCUUAUAUUAUUGCUUUGACAGCUUCACUCAUCUAGAAGUAAUGCAAAAUGCAAUUUAUAUUUAUACUCUCUGACCUUCUGUACAGAGAGGGAAACUAUCUAAUGAUGGGCCAUGGUAGCAGAGAAAGAAACAGAUCUCAAUACAUCUGGAAUUUGUCUACAUUUUUUGCUUUUCAACCAUUCAAUUACAGUCAAAAGAUAAAUGAGACAUGAAGAGUGCCUUGGUUAGGUAGUGACACAAUUAUUUUAUAGUGAGUAGGUUCUGGCUUUGAGCCUUGGCAAAGGUUGCCAUGCACGCCUUGUUUCACUAGAUACAGAUAAUCUGCCUGCUCCCACCGGACAAAUCCCCUCUGCUUGGAGGUGUGUCAUUAUGCCCACCACAGGAGGAGAAGAAAGACACCAGCAUCUUGGUACCACUCUUCCCGUGCAUUUGAAUAUCCUUGAGAUAGGCUGAUGGUCUAAUCCUAUUAACUACGAUAAAUCAAGUCAGGCCUAAUUGUAAACCGGGACAUUAUUAAUUUCUGUGGAAAAUAGGCAGAUAGGAAGAACACACAGUGUUCUUCUCAUCUGAGGAGCAGCACCUGGGUUUGUGUCUUCUCAGGUAAAAGAAAUAAACAAACCAGCCUUUGAUUCUGACAGAACUGCUGAAGUAAAUACCAGAUAACACCUGAAGAUCCUUAACAACAUGUCUCAGAGCAGAUAUACUGUCGCAGCUCAGCAUCCUUCAGAGGGUUCACUGCAGCCACAACUGUUUACAACAGCACGAUUUGGCUCAAAAAUUCAGCCUCCAGCUGCAUCUGUUUCUCCCUUUUCAUCCAAAAGAGACACAGCAUUUGAAGAAAAAGUUACUUGCAGGAAUAAGCAUUAAGAGGAGGUACAGGUACAGAAAAUGGGAAGCCCAGGUUUCUCAUAUCCCAGUGUACUUUGGACAACUGUUUGGACAAAACACUAGUUUGAAUUCUUCUCUUCAUCCCAUUGAUCCAUUCUGCCUUGAAAAGGAGUUGAUAAAAGUCCAUUUGCCUCAACAGUGAGGUUUCUUUUCUGUUUUAAUUGUUUUAUUUGGAACUGCCACAUUUCAAUGAGUGUUCUUUUUGCUUUUGUAGAUUGAAUGAUUAAAAACCAUGUUAUUGGACAAAAA